rnacentral:rRNA from 1 species
GAUGAACGCUGGCGGCGUGCCUAAUACAUGCAAGUCGAGCGAACGGACGAGAAGCUUGCUUCUCUGAUGUUAGCGGCGGACGGGUGAGUAACACGUGGAUAACCUACCUAUAAGACUGGGAUAACUUCGGGAAACCGGAGCUAAUACCGGAUAAUAUUUUGAACCGCAUGGUUCAAAAGUGAAAGACGGUCUUGCUGUCACUUAUAGAUGGAUCCGCGCUGCAUUAGCUAGUUGGUAAGGUAACGGCUUACCAAGGCAACGAUGCAUAGCCGACCUGAGAGGGUGAUCGGCCACACUGGAACUGAGACACGGUCCAGACUCCUACGGGAGGCAGCAGUAGGGAAUCUUCCGCAAUGGGCGAAAGCCUGACGGAGCAACGCCGCGUGAGUGAUGAAGGUCUUCGGAUCGUAAAACUCUGUUAUUAGGGAAGAACAUAUGUGUAAGUAACUGUGCACAUCUUGACGGUACCUAAUCAGAAAGCCACGGCUAACUACGUGCCAGCAGCCGCGGUAAUACGUAGGUGGCAAGCGUUAUCCGGAAUUAUUGGGCGUAAAGCGCGCGUAGGCGGUUUUUUAAGUCUGAUGUGAAAGCCCACGGCUCAACCGUGGAGGGUCAUUGGAAACUGGAAAACUUGAGUGCAGAAGAGGAAAGUGGAAUUCCAUGUGUAGCGGUGAAAUGCGCAGAGAUAUGGAGGAACACCAGUGGCGAAGGCGACUUUCUGGUCUGUAACUGACGCUGAUGUGCGAAAGCGUGGGGAUCAAACAGGAUUAGAUACCCUGGUAGUCCACGCCGUAAACGAUGAGUGCUAAGUGUUAGGGGGUUUCCGCCCCUUAGUGCUGCAGCUAACGCAUUAAGCACUCCGCCUGGGGAGUACGACUGCAAGGUUGAAACUCAAAGGAAUUGACGGGGACCCGCACAAGCGGUGGAGCAUGUGGUUUAAUUCGAAGCAACGCGAAGAACCUUACCAAAUCUUGACAUCCUUUGACAACUCUAGAGAUAGAGCUUUCCCCUUCGGGGGACAAAGUGACAGGUGGUGCAUGGUUGCCGUCAGCUCGUGUCGUGAGAUGUUGGGUUAAGUCCCGCAACGAGCGCAACCCUUAAGCUUAGUUGCCAUCAGUAAGUUGGGCACUCUAAGUUGACUGCCGGUGACAAACCGGAGGAAGGUGGGGAUGACGUCAAAUCAUCAUGCCCCUUAUGAUUUGGGCUACACACGUGCUACAAUGGACAAUACAAAGGGCAGCGAAACCGCGAGGUCAAGCAAAUCCCAUAAAGUUGUUCUCAGUUCGGAUUGUAGUCUGCAACUCGACUACAUGAAGCUGGAAUCGCUAGUAAUCGUAGAUCAGCAUGCUACGGUGAAUACGUUCCCGGGUCU